AAUACCGCAUAACAGAAGGGGACGCAUGUUUCUUUCUUGAAAACUCCGGUGGUACGGGAUGGACCCGCGUCUGAUUAGCUGGUUGGCGGGGUAACGGCCCACCAAGGCGACGAUCAGUAGCCGGCCUGAGAGGGCGGACGGCCACAUUGGGACUGAGACACGGCCCAAACUCCUACGGGAGGCAGCAGUGGGGAAUAUUGCACAAUGGGGGAAACCCUGAUGCAGCGACGCCGCGUGAGUGAAGAAGCGUUUCGGCGCGUAAAGCUCUGUCAGCGGGGAAGAAACACGGUUCGCGAGAGCCGCGGACGGUACCCGACCAAGAAGCCCCGGCUAACUACGUGCCAGCAGCCGCGGUAAUACGUAGGGGGCAAGCGUUAUCCGGAUUCACUGGGUGUAAAGGGAGCGUAGACGGCGAGACAAGUCUGGAGUGAAAGGCCGGGGCCCAACCCCGGGACUGCUCUGGAAACUGCCUGGCUGGAGUACAGGAGAGGUAAGUGGAAUUCCUAGUGUAGCGGUGAAAUGCGUAGAUAUUAGGAGGAACACCAGUGGCGAAGGCGGCUUACUGGGCUGUAACUGACGUUGAGGCUCGAAAGCGUGGGGAGCAAACAGGAUUAGAUACCCUGGUAGUCCACGCCGUAAACGAUGAUCACUAGGUGUCGGGGGUUAGAAGGCCCCCGGUGCCGCAGC
rnacentral:rRNA from 1 species